CCUACGGGAGGCUGCAGUGGGGAAUAUUGGGCAAUGGGCGCAAGCCUGACCCAGCAACGCCGCGUGAAGGAAGAAGGCUUUCGGGUUGUAAACUUCUUUUAAGGGGGAAGAGCAGAAGACGGUACCCCUUGAAUAAGCCACGGCUAACUACGUGCCAGCAGCCGCGGUAAUACGUAGGUGGCAAGCGUUGUCCGGAUUUACUGGGUGUAAAGGGCGUGCAGCCGGAGAGACAAGUCAGAUGUGAAAUCCACGGGCUCAACCCGUGAACUGCAUUUGAAACUGUUUCCCUUGAGUGUCGGAGAGGUAAUCGGAAUUCCUUGUGUAGCGGUGAAAUGCGUAGAUAUAAGGAGGAACACCAGUGGCGAAGGCGACGAUCUGGCCUGCAACUGACGCUCAGUCCCGAAAGCGUGGGGAGCAAAUAGGAUUAGAUACCCUAGUAGUC
rnacentral:rRNA from 1 species